AGGGGUUUUUUAAGUGGAGAAAGUAGGGAGUUUUCUUAAAGAUGAGAAAUUGAUUUGAAUUUUAGUGAGGAAUUUAGCUGUGCUUAGUUGAGAAGGCUUUUGGAAAAUGAUCAAGUUUUAUAGCUCCAACCUGAAGACAUAUCCCUUCAUCAUUAUCAGCCUUGUUUUCCUUCUUUCGAAGCAAAGUCAUGUGGAUAUUCAGGUGGCCUUGUCUGAUGUUUGGGUCACCAUAUGCUUCAGAGAACGACAAUAUUAUGCAGAUUGAUUGAGUGGUUGAGAAGAGGGUCAUACUUCAUAUAAUUUAUCAAGAGACAUUUUUGGGCUGCAUUGUUUUGGGACCAUCCAAUGCAACUCAAACUUUAUUACCGCGUGGUUCUGUUUCCAACUGCUGAGAACAAGGCUGUCACCAAUGAAAUGCUCUGUCAUCAGUUUGAAGCUAUAAAACUUGAGCAUUUCCUCAGCUCUUUUCAACAACACAAAGAAGCUUCUCAAGAUGGCAAGAAAAUGGCGUAAGAUAGCAGCAGCCAGCAGGAAGAGGAUCUCUUGGCCGCAACUAAUGGC